UACGAAGGGGGCUAGCGUUGCUCGGAAUGACUGGGCGUAAAGGGUGCGUAGGCGGGUCUUAAGUCAGGGGUGAAAUCCUGGAGCUCAACUCCAGAACUGCCUUCGAUACUGGCGAUCUUGAGUCUGGGAGAGGUGAGUGGAACUCCGAGUGUAGAGGUGAAAUUCGUAGGAUAUUCGGAAGAACACCAGUGGCGAAGGCGGCUCACUGGACUGGUAUUGA
rnacentral:rRNA from 1 species